GCAGUUCGUUAGACGAUCACUUGCGUUUUGAACGUAAGAGGAAAGUCCGGGCAGCAAAGGACACGACAGUCGCUAACGGCGACCGGGGGAAACCCUAGGGAAAGUGCCACAGAAACGAGACUACCUUCGCAAGAGGGAAAAGGUGAAACGAGUGAGGUAAGAGCUCACAGCGUGACGCGGUGACGCGCCAUGGAGGUAAACCCUGUCGGCUGCAAGGAGAUCUGCAUAAAGAGUGGUCCGCUCGCAGGUCGAUACCCGCUCGACCGCUUGGGCAACCAGGUGGCUAGAUAGAUGAUCGUCCACGACAGAACCCGGCUUAUCGACGGACUGUCCAU
rnacentral:RNase_P_RNA from 1 species